GCUCAGAAACUUAAAGGAAUUGACGGGGGCCCCGCACAAGCGGAGGAACAUGUGGUUUAAUUCGAUGAUACGCGAGGAACCUUACCUGGGCUAGAACGCAUUCGGAAUCAGGCCGAAAGGCCUGCGCCAGCGAUGGCCGCUUGCGAGGUGCUGCAUGGUUGUCGUCAGCUCGUGCCGUGAGGUGUCGGGUUAAGUCCCAUAACGAGCGCAACCCCUGCUAUCUAUUGCCAGCAAGUAAUGUUGGGGACUCAGAUGGAACUGCCGGUGACAAACCGGAGGAAGGUGGGGACGACGUCAAGUCAUCAUGGCCCUUAUGUCCUGGGCUACACACGUGCUACAAUGGCCGGUACAGAGCGCAGCGAGGCCGCGAGGCGGAGCGAAUCGCUUAAAGCCGGUCCCAGUACGGAUUGGAGUCUGCAACCCGACUCCAUGAAGUUGGAAUCGCUAGUAAUCGCGCAUCAGCAUGGCGCGGUGAAUACGUUCCCGGGCCUU
rnacentral:rRNA from 1 species